CUGUCACAAUAUUAUUUCAACAGUUGUGAAAGGGAAUUUACCUGCACAAAAAUGCAGGGAUGUAACAUAUAGAAGUUACAAAACUUUUGAUAUUGAUGAAUUUACAAAUGAUUUACAGAAAAUAAAGAUUUCAGAAAAUUGUACUGAGAAAGAUUUAAAUAGUAUAUAUGAUGAUUAUGAAGAAGAUUUUAAAAACAUAUUAAAUAAACAUGCACCUGUAAAAUCUAGGGGUCAAAGAAAUAAACCACUUCCAUGUAUGAAUAAAGAACUGAGAGGGGCCAUAUAGAGAAAACAAAUGCUUUAUUCACAAUAAACUAAAAAUCGGAGUGACAAAAAUUGGGAGAAAUUUAGAAAACAAAGAAAUUUGGUAACAAAGGUAAAGAGAAAAUAAAUAAAAGUAUACUUUUUAGAACGUUGCUCUGGUGGGUCAAAAUCUUGCGAUUUUUGGAAAACAGUCAAACCAUUUUUCUCAAAAGAGGGGAACUUUGGAGAGCAAAAAAUUUUAUUAUGUGAAAAUGACAAAAUUGUAAAUUGUUCAAAUGAAGUUUUAAAUGUUUUUAAUAUUUUUUUCUCCACAGUAGCAGACAAAAUUGGAGCAGAUGUGGUAUAUGACCCCUCAAAUCACC
rnacentral:lncRNA from 1 species